AGGCCCUGGGUGACGCACUCCACAGACGUGUGGCAGCACAUGCUUCCCAAGGGACGUAAGAUCCAGUGAUGGGUAGAUAGCUGUACUUCCACAGGCUUUCAAAACAAGCAUAUAGAAAAUGAGCCCCAGACUGUCUGUUUACAAAUGUGUUUUCUUCUUCCCUCUUCUCAUGCCUGAGUCUGUUCAGGAAUGUCACAUUCCAGGCUUUCUGGGCUGACCAUGAGUCACAGUGGCAGCCAUCGUAAUGCCACAUAGUCAUGCCACAUAGUCCAGAAGGAAGUACUUCUGAAUGAGUCAGGCAGGAGUGCCUGGUGUAAAGCUGCCUCAUACUGCUUCAUCGUGGGACUUCAAGGCUUGGAUCACUGGGUGGUGUGUUUCAAGAUUCUUGAAGAUAACAUGCAAUUUGAAGUCCAGUUCAGUCACUGGCCUGGCAGGGGAAAAGAUUCUGGAAUCCCAGAAUAUUAAAGUUCAGGAACACUCAGAGGAAACUCCUUACCUCUCAGCUGAGGGAACUGAGGCUCAGAGAAAAGGGUCACUCUUUGGGCUCAAGGUGAGUGUUUUGGUUGUUUGGCCCACAAUUUCCUUCCUGCAUGGUGGCCUGAGCAGUUCAGAUAACAGAGUAUCUUACCAAGAAGCCAGGGUUCCAGGGAAGCAAGGAGCAAGAAGAAGCACCCAGCCCUAGGAGCUUCUAGGAGCACUUGGCAGUCCAGGAGGCCUGAUUCUUACUGCACAGGUAUUCCAGAGUAAGCAGCCAGGAAUUUGCAUAACGUGAAGUCAUGCCUCCUUCAAACCAAAGAAAAGGAAGCUUUUCCCUUUUCACGUCUCCUUUCAUCCCUAAAGCUGGAUUUCCUAAACAGGUAUCACUUGGAAAAGGGACCCCCUUCAUUUGUAGUAAGAGAUGUGUACUUUACAUGCAAGGAAAGAUAAUCCCUAGUUUCAAAGCUAAGCCACAUUCCUUAGAAAUAUUUCCUCUUUGUGAGGUAAUUCAAUUAAAACAGUAGGCAUGGUUCUCUGGGAAUAUAUAGUUCUAGAACUGAAUAAUCGAUUAGGUCUAGAAAGAUUGCUUAUCCAGAGUCAUUCAUUUUGUUGGGAUUUGAGGUUAGGGCCGGGGAUUUUCUUUCAGGUUUGUUUGGUUUUGGUUGCCAGGGGUGGGAUCGUUCUCAAAUAUAGUACUUGGAAAGACCCAGUUAAACAAAGUAACAGCAAUCCCUCUGAAAAACAAAUACUGAGUCACGGGUAAGAAUUAUGCACAGAAUCAGAAAACAAAUGUUGAUUCCUAAAGUCAUCUUUGAGACCUUCUGAAAGC
rnacentral:lncRNA from 1 species